rnacentral:tRNA from 2 species
GGGGAGGUUGGAGAGUGGUCAAAUCCAAGGGAUUGUAAAUCCCUCGCCUACGGCUUCGAAGGUUCGAGUCCUUCUCUCCCCACCA